rnacentral:lncRNA from 1 species
AAAAAUACUGUAUCAUUGAACCAUUUUUCUUAAAACACGAAUACAUAUGGGCCGUCAAGGCCUCUGACAUAUUGUACAAAAUGAAACUCUGUCUACAAAGCCUCUAAUAUUAUUUGACAUCAAAUGGGACAAGGUACCGGCCUACCCAUGAGUCUGCGGCAAAACUCUGAUACGAUGACUCAUAGACUCGGCUGCACUCCGAAUGAGGUAAAGUCUUACCGAUCCUUCGCUGAAUGUCAAUCUUGUCUAUAAUAAGGGCUCUCCAAACUUUAUUAUCUAUACCUGCAGGCAUGAAUGCAACGUCCCCAACAAAAGGAUGUCAGUACGAAUAAUGUACCGAGUAUGUAAGGCGGAACUGAAAUAUNNNNNNNNNNNNNNNNNNNNNNNNNAUGUAAUGCAUAGGUCUGUACGUACAUAACAUCAUAAAGCCUCUAAGGGCAUCUCAUCAUAUCAUCUCAGCCAUUGUGGGCAAAAUCAUCAUCGUAUACCAGCUGAUCAGGUGGUGAUGCGUAUAUAAUGUCAUAACCUUUUCCCAUAUCCCAUAUACAUAUAUACACAUAUAUACGUGUAUAUAACGUCGUCUGAGUCGUGGGUAAAUGUACAUGUAUAAAUGAGUGCAAUGCAUAAUGAAGUAAGAAAAUAUGAUCUCUUGGAAUGUUAUGAGACCCAUGAAUAGACAAUAUGGUAGUAGGACAUAUGGGGAAUCAGGAACAUGCUGAGACAUGCUUGAAUAUUACUUUAUAGGAAUGAAUAAUGUAGAUAUCCUUAACUUCUAAGAGUAGAAACACUUAUUGAAUAGCAUUACAUUUAGGUAUUGUUACUUGGGUCAUGCCAAAAAAAGAAGGAUUAGCCAUAACAUACCUGGAUCCCUUAAGCAAUUGAGACCUGAGCCGCAUGAACCAGUGAGAUAGAAGGUGGUGUUGUCGACUAGGGAAUUAUCAGAAGGUCACGUAACUCAUCUUUCAGCAAUGAGAAAUUGAAAAAGGAAACAACAUAUCAUCAUCGAAGAACAAACUGUCGAAAUCAGUCUUGUAAAGCAACAAUAUUUUUACUUUUGCCCUCUGCUGAGUGCUCAUUUACCGCCUGAUAUUGCGAUAGUUUAACCUCAUCCGAUUGAGCACCUUGUCAAAAUAGAAGCUGUUCUUUCCUUUCCAUGAACUCAAAACUAUAUACUUGAACGAAACUGGAAGAAAAAAAUAUCAUCUUCAAGUCGAUCCUAUCAAUCUAAAUAAUUCGUCUCUUUCUCUUUCUUUUCUUACCUUCAAAUCUGUUCUGUCAAUUCCAAAGUCUACUCUCUCCUUUUUCUUAUUUCCUUUAUAAUUUUC